CGGAGGAAAAGAAACCAACAGGGAUUGCCCUAGUAACGGCGAGUGAAGCGGCAACAGCUCAAAUUUGAAAUCUGGCUUUCGGGCCCGAGUUGUAAUUUGUAGAGGAUGAUUUUGAUGCGGUGCCUUCCGAGUUCCCUGGAACGGGACGCCAUAGAGGGUGAGAGCCCCGUCUGGUUGGAUGCCAAAUCUCUGUAAAUCUCCUUCGACGAGUCGAGUAGUUUGGGAAUGCUGCUCUAAAUGGGAGGUAUAUGUCUUCUAAAGCUAAAUACCGGCCAGAGACCGAUAGCGCACAAGUAGAGUGAUCGAAAGAUGAAAAGCACUUUGAAAAGAGAGUUAAAAAGUACGUGAAAUUGUUGAAAGGGAAGCGUUUAUGACCAGACUUGGGCUUGGUUAAUCAUCUGGGGUUCUCUCCAGUGCACUUUUCCAGUCCAGGCCAGCAUCAGUUUUCGCCGGGGGAUAAAGGCUUCGGGAAUGUGGCUCCCCUCGGGGAGUGUUAUAGCCCGUUGUGUAAUACCCUGGUGGGGACUGAGGUUCGCGCUUCUGCAAGGAUGCUGGCGUAAUGGUCAUCAACGACCCGUCUUGAAACACGGACC
rnacentral:rRNA from 1 species